CAGUAGCCGCGGUAAUACGAAGGGUGCAAGCGUUAAUCGGAAUUACUGGGCGUAAAGCGUGCGUAGGUGGUGGUUUAAGUCCGUUGUGAAAGCCCUGGGCUCAACCUGGGAAUUGCAGUGGAUACUGGGUCACUAGAGUGUGGUAGAAGAUAGUGGAAUUUCCGGUGUAGCAGUGAAAUGCGUAGAGAUCGGAAGGAACAUCUGUGGCGAAGGCGACUAUCUGGGCCAACACUGACACUGAGGCACGAAAGCGUGGGGAGCAAACAGGAUUAGAUACCCCGGUAGUCCCUGUCUCUUAUAC
rnacentral:rRNA from 1 species